ACCAUCAGCAGCGAUGAUAUCUGCCAAAUAUUUCUUGGUUCUUCUUGUGUAUAUCAGCGGCUCAGGAGCUGAAGGCCAAACCCUGAUUCAGUCUGAAGCAGUGGUCACAAGUCCAGGAGGGUCACACCGUCUGACCUGUACAUAUUCAGGAUUCAGUACUGAUUAUGACACUGUUUGGAUCAGACAGGCUGCUGGGAAAGGCCUGGAGUGGAUCUCUUACAUUAGCAGUGGCAGUAGUAGCAAGUACUACUCCGAUUCAGUGAAAAACCGCUUCACCGUGUCCAGAGAUAACAGCAGAAAAGAGGUGUAUCUGCACAUGAGCGGCCUGAGAGCGGACGACACUGCGCUGUAUUUCUGCGCCAGAGACUCUGUUACUUCACUUCAGUAA